rnacentral:rRNA from 1 species
AGAGUUUGAUCCUGGCUCAGGAUGAACGCUGGCGGCGUGCCUAAUACAUGCAAGUCGAACGCAACACUUCGGUGUUGAGUGGCGAACGGGUGAGUAACACGUAGGUAACCUGCCCUUAAGACGAGGAUAACCGUUGGAAACGAUGGCUAAGACUGGAUAGGAAUAGAUAAGGCAUCUUAUAUAUUUUAAAAGACCUAGCAAUAGGUAUGCUUAAGGAGGGGCCUGCGGCGCAUUAGUUAGUUGGUGAGGUGAGAGCUCACCAAGACGAUGAUGCGUAGCCGGACUGAGAGGUUGAACGGCCACAUUGGGACUGAGAGACGGCCCAAACUCCUACGGGAGGCAGCAGUAGGGAAUUUUCGGCAAUGGGGGCAACCCUGACCGAGCAACGCCGCGUGAAUGACGAAGUACUUCGGUAUGUAAAGUUCUUUUAUUAGGGAAGAAUGGGUCACGGAAAAGUGACAUUGACGGUACCUAAUGAAUAAGCCCCGGCUAACUAUGUGCCAGCAGCCGCGGUAAUACAUAGGGGGCAAGCGUUAUCCGGAAUUAUUGGGCGUAAAGGGUGCGUAGGUGGUUCGUUAAGUCUUUGGUGUAAGUGCAGUGCUUAACGCUGUGAUGCUAAAGAAACUGGCGGACUUGAGUGUGGUAGAGGCAAGUGGAAUUCCAUGUGUAGCGGUAAAAUGCGUAAAUAUAUGGAGGAACACCAGUGGCGAAGGCGGCUUGCUGGGCCACAACUGACACUGAGGCACGAAAGCGUGGGGAGCAAACAGGAUUAGAUACCCUGGUAGUCCACGCCGUAAACGAUGAGUACUAAGUGUUGGAGAAAUUCAGUGCUGUAGUUAACGCAAUAAGUACUCCGCCUGAGUAGUACGUGCGCAAGCAU